GUCUACGGCUGUACCACCCUGCACGCGCCCGAUCUCAUCUGAUCUCGGAAGCUAAGCAGGGUCGGGCCUGGUUAGUGCUUGGAUGGGAGAUACAAUUAGGCAGUAGCAGUGGCCUUAGCUG
rnacentral:rRNA from 1 species